rnacentral:lncRNA from 1 species
CAUUUACCAGAGAAGCACUGAUCAGGACAAAAGAAGUGCAGAACUUUUCUUUAUAUUUAUUUACUUCAACAGCCAUUAUAUCAGCACAUUAUGUAUAGACCAGUCAUGGCUUCCUGUACAUCUGUGUCACUAUGGAUGAUUGCCCUUCUUGUGUUUGGAGUGUUGGCAAUCUUUGGAAUAACUAUUGGUCUCCUUGUUCAUUUUCUGGCAGUAGGUUACCUUCAGCAAGUUGCCUUAGCUGGAAGAUUGGAACAUAUACAAUAAAAAUGUCACAAUUAUGGUUGAUGCAUUUCAAAGUUCUAGCAUUUACAGACAAUAUAUCUUUUCUCAAGUCAUCACACUGGUGUAAGUAACCAACAUUAACCAUCAAAAAAGAGAUCAACUGAUCAUACAUACCAGGACACUUCAAAUUUCUCUGUGAAAAGAAUCUAUUGAUAUGUUAUAGUCCUUAGCCAAUAAGCUAUGAAUAUCAAGCAUUAUCAUAAAUGUCAGACUAAUUUUUCAAUAUGAAACCUAAGAUUGGGGCCAUAUAGUUGAGUUCACUAGAUGUAUUGAGGAUACAUUAAUCCUCAA